GCGCUCCCGCGGGACUGGGCUGGAGAACCUCCGAUUGGGACAACCGCCUCUUAAAGGGCCUCAUGCCCUCUCCGCUCAUCCCAACACUCUGAGCAUCUCAGCCUAUCCUGCUCACUACUCCACACCGCGGGUAACCGUCAAUCGCCUCCGGUUGCCCUGGUAACAGUCAGCGGACCCCAACGCGUACCUCCUGACUCUACCCAGAAUGCUGCGCACCCUCUCUCAUUCACUUCCGGCUCGGAGGGCUAACUCCUCCGGAAGUAGAUGCCGGUUAUUCCUAGCCUGGCAUUGGUCCGUGUGCUGGGCUCCCGCUGAGGGCGCCGGACUGUUUUGUCCUUUCCCAGCUUUCGAGAAGAUGAAGGCAAGCUAAGCAAAACAAACCCACGCCCAAAUCGAACCCAUCAGAAACAACCACUAUGGACACUUUGGAGCAGUCUUCCAGGAGGAAUCACGUUGUGUAUGCUGUUUGGUAACUUAAAAACUUUCUGAACACAUUUGAGAAAAGACACUUAACAACAUGGCUGCAUGUAUUCCAUGGCACCUCUUGUUGGACAUGUAAACUUUUUAUCCUUUUUUUGCUUUUAAUUAGUGCUGCCAUCCAGAAAUGAAAAUCCUUAGAGCUAAAUCUUUGCCCAUACUCUCAUUUCUUUGCGGUAAUUAUUUUUAUUUUUUAAAUUAGUCAUUGGCAUUUCCUCGAAUGCCCAUUCCACCCCCAUAAAUUCAGAAGAACAUAAUAAAUAAUAUUAACACCUGG